rnacentral:tRNA from 1 species
GCGGGCGUAGCUUAGCUGGCUUAAAGCGCCUCCCUGUCACGGAGGAGAUCGAGGGUUCAAAUCCCUUCGCUCGCGCAA